UAGCUCAGUGGUAGAGCGUUGGUCUCGUAAAAUAGUUAAAAGAAUAACUCUAAUGUAGUAAACCAAAGGCCGAGAGUUCAAUCCUCUC
rnacentral:tRNA from 1 species